AUUGAACGCUGGCGGCAUGCUUUACACAUGCAAGUCGAACGGUAACAGGCCGCAAGGUGCUGACGAGUGGCGAACGGGUGAGUAAUGCAUCGGAACGUGCCCAGUCGUGGGGGAUAACGCAGCGAAAGCUGCGCUAAUACCGCAUACGAUCUGUGGAUGAAAGCGGGGGACCGUAAGGCCUCGCGCGAUUGGAGCGGCCGAUGUCAGAUGAGGUAAGUUGGUGGGGUAAAGGCUCACCAAGCCAACGAUCUGUAGCUGGUCUGAGAGGACGACCAGACACAGUGGGACUGAGACACGGCCAGGGCUCCUACGGGGGGCAGCAGUGGGGAAUUUUAGACAAUGGGCGCAAGACUGUUCCAGCAAUGCCGCGUGCAGGAAGAAGGCCUUCGGGUUGUAAACUGCUUUUGUUCGGAACGAAAAGGCUCUGGUUAAUACCUGGGGCUCAUGACGGUACCGUAAGAAUAAGCACCGGCUAACUUCGUGCCAGCCGCCGCCGUAAUAC
rnacentral:rRNA from 1 species